rnacentral:rRNA from 1 species
AGUCGAGCGGACUUGAUGGAGUGCUUGCACUCCUGAUGGUUAGCGGCGGACGGGUGAGUAACACGUAGGCAACCUGCCCUCAAGACUGGGAUAACUACCGGAAACGGUAGCUAAUACCGGAUAAUUUAUUACAUAGCAUUAUGUGAUAAUGAAAGACGGAGCAAUCUGUCACUUGGGGAUGGGCCUGCGGCGCAUUAGCUAGUUGGUGGGGUAACGGCCCACCAAGGCGACGAUGCGUAGCCGACCUGAGAGGGUGAACGGCCACACUGGGACUGAGACACGGCCCAGACUCCUACGGGAGGCAGCAGUAGGGAAUCUUCCGCAAUGGGCGAAAGCCUGACGGAGCAACGCCGCGUGAGUGAUGAAGGUUUUCGGAUCGUAAAGCUCUGUUGCCAAGGAAGAACGUCUCAUAGAGUAACUGCUAUGAGAGUGACGGUACUUGAGAAGAAAGCCCCGGCUAACUACGUGCCAGCAGCCGCGGUAAUACGUAGGGGGCAAGCGUUGUCCGGAAUUAUUGGGCGUAAAGCGCGCGCAGGCGGUUCUUUAAGUCUGGUGUUUAAACCUGGGGCUCAACUUCAGGUCGCACUGGAAACUGGGGGACUUGAGUGCAGAAGAGGAGAGUGGAAUUCCACGUGUAGCGGUGAAAUGCGUAGAUAUGUGGAGGA